UGGGGAAUAUUGCACAAUGGAGGAAACUCUGAUGCAGCGACGCCGCGUGAGCGAUGAAGUAUUUCGGUAUGUAAAGCUCUAUCAGCAGGGAAGAUAAUGACGGUACCUGAGUAAGAAGCUCCGGCUAAAUACGUGCCAGCAGCCGCGGUAAUACGUAUGGAGCAAGCGUUAUCCGGAUUUACUGGGUGUAAAGGGAGUGUAGGCGGCUUUGCAAGUCAGAUGUGAAAGCCCGGGGCUCAACCCCGGGACUGCAUUUGAAACUGCGAAGCUGGAGUGUCGGAGAGGUAAGUGGAAUUCCUAGUGUAGCGGUGAAAUGCGUAGAUAUUAGGAAGAACAC
rnacentral:rRNA from 1 species